rnacentral:rRNA from 1 species
UACGUAGGGUGCGAGCGUUUGUCCGGAAUUAUUGGGCGUAAAGAGCUUGUAGGCGGUUUGUCGCGUCUGCCGUGAAAAUUCGAGGCUCAACCUCGAACUUGCGGUGGGUACGGGCAGACUAGAGUGUGGUAGGGGAGACUGGAAUUCCUGGUGUAGCGGUGAAAUGCGCAGAUAUCAGGAAGAACACCCCGUGGCGAAGGCGGCUCUCUGGGACGGUACUGACGCUGAGACGCGAAAGCGUGGGGAGCGAACAGG